rnacentral:rRNA from 1 species
GAUCCUGGCUCAGGAUGAACGCUAGCUACAGGCUUAACACAUGCAAGUCGCGGGGCAGCAUGAAUUUAGCUUGCUAAAUUUGAUGGCGACCGGCGCACGGGUGAGUAACGCGUAUCCAACCUUCCCCAUAGUCAGGAAUAGCCCGGCGAAAGUCGAAUUAAUGCCUGAUGUUUUCCACGGACGGCAUCCGAUGUGGAACAAAGAUUGAUCGCUAUGGGAUGGGGAUGCGUCUGAUUAGCUUGUUGGCGGGGUAACGGCCCACCAAGGCAACGAUCAGUAGGGGUUCUGAGAGGAAGGUCCCCCACAUUGGAACUGAGACACGGUCCAAACUCCUACGGGAGGCAGCAGUGAGGAAUAUUGGUCAAUGGGCGGAAGCCUGAACCAGCCAAGUAGCGUGAGGGAUGACUGCCCUAUGGGUUGUAAACCUCUUUUAUAAGGGAAUAAAAUACGGGACGUGUCCUGUUUUGCAUGUACCUUAUGAAUAAGGACCGGCUAAUUCCGUG